AUGGAAUGCUGCCCCAUAUUCUUGGCCCCACAAUGGCCACAGUGUCAUCCAUGGAAGGGCAGUAAAUUUCCCAUUUGCACUGAGCACAAAGCAGCGCUCAGAUGUCUCUGCCAUCUGAGCUGGACCUUCUCUUCCUCCUGGCCGCAGAAGUCAAGGAACCAUGGAGUUGACUUUGCCCAGCUGCCUUGAGAGACAUGCGUCAUAGGUUUUUCAGGUUAGAGUCUGUGGCUCCUGAGGCACUGUGUGCCUUCCAGUUCUGGAGAAACUGAGGCACUCCUUCAGGCAGUGAAGCAUUCAGGAUGCUUUGUUUUCCUCUGCAUGUUCCCUUAGAAGGCAAGGAAGCAUGGUAGCUUGGCAGGACAAUUGGUCUUAGACAUGAAUCUUGUGUACUCUGUAAUGUUUGCAAAUAUCACCAUAUCCUGGCAACUUCAAUCGUAUUGAUCCUGGCAAUCACCACUAUAUUCUAUUUCUCACAGGGGUGUAAAAUGUCUGUUUGCUCUUAAUAAAAUUGUCACAGCCUCAGUCUUACUAUGGCCCCUCCAACUGGAACCUGUUUAACUCCUGGACUGACCAUAUCAGGUAACCCUGCCCCAGUAAGUCUCCUAUAACUCCUGCUGUGUCCUUGUAGGCUGAGGCUCCCAAAGCUAGGGCUCAGUUCUGCCCAUGGCUCCUCUGGUUCCCUCAUGACUACUCUGCUGUGCCAGGAUGCACAAUCACAGUUAGUUAUUAUCCCCACAAUGUUGUCUGUCUAUCAUCCACUCAAGCAAAUGGAUAAAUGUUGGGUGUACUUGCCAGGUGGGCUGGAAGCCUUUUAAGCUUGUUAAACAA
rnacentral:lncRNA from 1 species